rnacentral:rRNA from 1 species
GACGAACCGUGCGAACGUUGUUCGGAAUCACUGGGCUUAAAGGGCGCGUAGGCGGGCUCGCGAGUCCGGGGUGAAAGCCCCCAGCUCAACUGGGGAAGCGCCUUGGAUACUGCGGGCCUCGAGGGGGGUAGGGGCGCGCGGAACUUCCGGUGGAGCGGUGAAAUGCGUAGAUAUCGCUUGGAACGCCGAAGGUGAAAACAGGUCGCUGGGGAUGUGCCGACGCUGAGACACGAAAGCCAGGGGAGCAAACGGG